rnacentral:tRNA from 1 species
GGUGGAGUGACCGAGUGGUUAAGGUGCAACAUUUAGGUACGUACCUCGGUACAAGCCAAUAUCUGUUGUGGGAAACCGCGCGAGUUCGAAUCUCGUCUCCAUCA